rnacentral:rRNA from 1 species
UACGAACCGUGCAAACGUUGUUCGGAAUCACUGGGCGUAAAGGGCGCGUAGGCGGUCUCCCAAGUCCGGGGUGAAAUCUUUCGGCUUAACCGGAAAAGUGCCUUGGAUACUGGGAGGCUUGAGGGGGGUAGGGGCAAGCGGAACUUCCGGUGGAGCGGUGAAAUGCGUUGAUAUCGGAAGGAACGCCGGCGGCGAAAGCGGCUUGCUGGACCCCAUCUGACGCUGAAGCGCGAAAGCCAGGGGAGCGAACGGG